AAUAAGAAAAAGAAAAAAAAUUAAACUGUCAAUUGUUCUUGAACAAUUGAGAGGUCUUUCCUUUUGUAAUGUAAAAUACAUGUUCCAACAGACGUAGAAUGAUUUUAAAACGUCAAGGUCAACCUUAAAAAGCUCGAAAACACACUAAAAAUCCUUUAAAUAAGGUUAAAAACACUAAAUUCGCUAUCUGGGACAUGACCUUGACCUUUGACCUUUUGACCUUUGUCAAGGUCAUUAGUCCCCAAUGCCAUUACUGAAGACCCCAGGGGUCUAGGACCUUUGGUUAUAUAGUAAAAGCUGAUUUUGUCUUUUCAGAAACCUAAAACAGGGGUUAUGCCCCUUAUAGAAAGGUCAAAUCUCUUUGGUCAAAAUGUAACAAAGUUGCGCCAUAAUUACCCAAACAUUUUCCACUAUUUAAAACUUCUGUAAGUAUAAUGGUUUCUGAGAUUUUUCCAUAACAAGGUGUUAGGUCAAAGGUCAAGGUCAACAUACAAAUUUGACCUUGAGAUAUUUUUCAAAGAUACAUGAAUUGAUGAUGAAUGGUGAAGAUCCUAGGUCUCUACGACUUACGGUUUCUGAGUUUUGGUGGUCCACCGACACCGGUUAAUUUUCAUAGGGGCAUAACCCUACCAAUGAGUCGUUGAAUCUUUUCGAUCCAAAUGUAACGAAGAACCAAGGUCUGGUCCUGAACAAAUUUCACCCUUUGUUUUUUUUCUACCUAUUAUGGUUACGGUGUUGGAACGAUAACAAGGUUUUUUGGUUUCGGAGGGAUUACUCCGAACCGACAAAAUAUUUCGACUAACAGGGUGAGUUCAAGAUAGGUAUUCAUGACACCGAUACAAAGUGUGAACAUGAAAGCGACACGUCUUACGGUUUAGGCUGCUAACUUCGUCAAAGUUUGGCGGAGAAAAAUAAUAAUAAUAAUAAUAAUAAUAAACAGAAGAAAUACAGUAAGGUCUUUCCCUUUUGUAAAAGGAAAGACCUUAAUUAAACUGUCAAUUGUUCUUGAACAAUUGAGAGGUCUUUCCUUUUGUAAUGUAAAAUACAUGUUCCAACAGACGUAGAAUGUAUUGAAAAGGUCAAGGUCAACCUUAAAAAGCUCCAAAACACACUAAAAAUCCUUUAUAUAAGGUUAAAAACACUAAAUUCGCUAUCUGGGACAUGACCUUGACCUUUGACCUUUUGACCUUUGUCAAGGUCAUUAGUCCCCAAUGCCAUUACUGAAGACCCCAAGGGUCUAGGACCUUUGGUUAUAUAGUAAAAGCUGAUUUUGUCUUUUCAGAAACCUAAAACAGGGGUUAUGCCCCUUAUAGAAAGGUCAAAUCUCUUUGGUCAAAAUGUAACAAAGUUGCGCCAUAAUGACCCAAACAUUUUCCACUAUUUAAAAC
rnacentral:lncRNA from 1 species